rnacentral:rRNA from 1 species
UACGUAGGGUGCAAGCGUUGUUCGGAAUUAUUGGGCGUAAAGCGCGUGUAGGUUGUUACUCAAGUCGGGUGUGAAAUCCCUUGGCUUAACCAAGGAAGUGCAUCCGAAACUAGGUAGCUAGAGGACGGUAGAGGAAGGUGGAAUUCCUAGUGUAGAGGUGAAAUUCGUAGAUAUUAGGAGGAAUACCUGUGGCGAAGGCGGCCUUCUGGGUCGUUCCUGACAAUGAGACGCGAAAGCGUGGGUAGCAAACAGG